CGCGUGUUACUGGUUUCUGCUGUUCCCAGAAGAGAGGGUCUCUCCGAAUGACUGCCUGAGUUCUCCCCAGUCAUGUGUGGCAAGGAGACAACCAAGCUUCUCUAAUGACAAGAAAGCCAAGAUCUCAGAGGCGUCUGUUGAAAAUUCUAACUCACUUUUGGGAUUGGCUACUUGGGCCCAUCAGAAAUGUGGACACUUGGGAGAGAAAGCCACUCACAGGCGAAGCUCAUUGGUCCGGCUGUUAUUGUGAUGACUGUGCUUACUCUACACCCUUUGGUCGGCUCAGAUACCAACAAUGAGAUUGGAGGUUGGGACCAGAGUGAUUCCGCAGAGAUGAGAUGGAAAAAGAUCGAAAUAAGAGUAACCUGCCUGACCAUUAACUGUCCAAACAUGAGAGCGAACCUCUAUGGAGAAGGCUAUUUUAGCCACAAUGAAACUGAGUCAAUGACCUAUAUUAAGUUACCAAAUGAAUCAUUUGGUUUGUUAACGUUAGAAUCUACAACGCCCUUUGGCUGCCGCAUACUGUAUACGCCUGUAAGCUCUAAUAUUUCUUCAGAAGAACUUACCCAAUAUUGGGUAAGUUAUGCAAACCAGCAGAGCACAAAG